rnacentral:rRNA from 1 species
AUUGAACGCUGGCGGCAGGCCUAACACAUGCAAGUCGAACGAGUGGCGGACGGGUGAGUAAUGUCUGGGAAACUGCCUGAUGGAGGGGGAUAAAUACUGGAAACGGUAGCUAAUACCGCAUACCAUCAGAUGUGCCCAGAUGGGAUAAGCUUGUUGGUGGGGUAACGGCUCACCAGGGCGACGAUCCCUAGCUGGUCGGAGAGAAUGACCAGCAACACUGGAACUGGGAACCGGUCCCGACUCCUACGGGAGGAAGCGGUGGGGAAUAUUGCACAAUGGGCGCAGCACUAAUGCGGCCAUGCCGCGUGUUUGAGGCAGGCCUUCGGGUUUUAAAGUACUUUCAUCGGGGCGGCGUUACCCGCAGAAUAAGCACCGGCUAACUCCGUGCCAGCAGCCGCGGUAAUAC